AUUUUUCUAAGUGUCAAGCCAUAUGUGUCAAUAUUCCACCUUGCUUAACUUUUUAUAUGAGCUUCAAAUGAGAAAUGUGUAUUCAUCAAAGUUGUAUCUCUCUCAGAGACCUUGAAAAUGGUCACAAAUUUCAUGUAAUUUGGCUUUGAAAUGAUAGAGUUAUGCAUUAUUGAAGUUUGGAAAAGUCACUUGAUCAAUGGUAUUGGUCAAAAG
rnacentral:lncRNA from 1 species